rnacentral:SRP_RNA from 1 species
GCCGGGCGUGGUGGCGGGCGCCUGUAAUCCCAGCUACUCGGGAGGCUGAGGCAGGAGAAUUGCUUGACCCCAGGAGGCUGAGAUUGCAGUGAGCUGAGAUUGUGCCACUGCACUCUUAGUCUGGGCGACAGAGCAAGACUCCGUCUCAA